rnacentral:rRNA from 1 species
GACGAACGCUGGCGGCGUGCUUAACACAUGCAGGUCGAGCGGUAAGGCCCUUUCGGGGGUACACGAGCGGCGAACGGGUGAGUAACACGUGGGUGACCUGCCCUCAGCUCUGGGAUAAGCCUGGGAAACCGGGUCUAAUACCGGAUAUGACUCCAUGACGCAUGUUGUGGGGUGGAAAGCCUUGUGCGGCUGAGGAUGGGCCCGCGGCCUAUCAGCUUGUUGGUGGGGUGAGGCCUACCAAGGCGACGACGGGUAGCCGGCCUGAGAGGGCGACCGGCCACACUGGGACUGAGACACGGCCCAGACUCCUACGGGAGGCAGCAGUGGGGAAUCUUGCGCAAUGGGCGAAAGCCUGACGCAGCGACGCCGCGUGAGGGAUGACGGCCU